CUUAUCUCUUAUAAAAUCAUACAGGAAACAUUAUCAAACAUAAAAUGAUGUUUGACUUUCUUUAUUCUAAAAACUAAUAAAAAUAGGUGCUAAAAAUUUUCCAAAUGAAAAUAAAUAUUGCUAAACCAAAGAGAAAUGUUAUCUAAGCCCCGUAUAAAAAAUAAAUAAAUCUUGUUCCAAUUGCAUCAAAAAACCCAUUAAGGGCCCUCCAGCACAGGGUUAAUACCAACGAGUUUCCACCUCCAGCUGCUCCUAGAGUGGCCACAGCAUGAGCCAUCUGGUGGGGGACCUAGCCGCCAACAGACACUUCCUGUACAGGGGAGGGGGGAGGGGGCCAGGCAGCCGUUAGACAGCACAACCGAACCCAACACCGGGGCCCAACGGCAGGGGCUUGGGCAGGAGCAAGGUCCGAGGGCUGCCAGGUCCACGCUGCUUUUAUGAGCUGUAACACUCACCGCGAAGAUCUGCAGCUUCACUCCUGAGCCCAGCGAGACCACGAGCCCACCGGGAGGAACAAACAACUCCAGACGCGCUGCCUUAAGAGCUGUAACACUUGCCGUGAAGGUCUGCAGCUUCACUCCUGAGCCAGCGAGACCACGAACCCACCAGAAGGAAGAAACUCCGAACACAUCUCAACAUCAGAACGGACAGACUCCAGACGCACCACCUUAAGAGCUGUAACACUCACCGCGAGGUUCCGCGGCUUCAUUCUUGAAGUCAGUAAGACCAAGAACCCACCAAUUCCGGACACAGUAGCAUUUGGGAAUAAUAAGAAUUGUAGCUGGGCAUGGUGGUACACGCCUGUAGACCCCUAGCAGCUGCCAUCAUCCUCACCAUCCGCAUAUUAUUGAUAUAUUAACUCUUUGAUGGCAACCAUAGCUUAUCCCCCUUAUCUCCCUAUGCCCUACAGCAGGGCAGUGGAAUGGUUAAGAGGCUUUGAAGUCUAAGAGUGCUGGCUUAAAACCCUAAUUUGUCAUUUUGGAUGUGUGGCUUUGGACACUUGGGGCAGGUCACCUAUGUUCUUCAAGCCCUGUAUCCUUAUCUGUCAGAUGAUGAUUUUUUUUUUUUUAGACGAAGUCUCACUCUCUUGCCCGGGCUGGAGUGCAGUGGCAUGAUCUCGGCUUACUGCAAGCUCCACCUCCCGGGUUGACGCCAUUCUCCUGCCUCAGCUUCCUGAGUAGCUGGGACUACAGGCUCCUGCCACCACCCGUGGCUAAUUUUUUUGUAUUUUUAGUAGAGACAGGGUUUCACCAUGUUAGCCAGGAUGGUCUCGAUCUCCUGACCUCGUGAUCUGCCCGCCCCAGCCUCCCAAAGUAUCAGAUGAUUUUAACAACUAUGCUUCCAUGACUUGCUGGGCUAGAUGAUAUGACUGUAAAAUGCCUAACCCAUGGUUUAGCAUCAAGUAAGCAAAUUGUAAAUGGUAGCACUGCUCUGCCUAUGACUAUUUAGUCUUGUGCUUUAAACUCAAAUAUUUGUUGGCCUACUGAAGUCACCACACAGAGAAAGAUGCUUUUCAUUCUCAGUAAAGAACUUUGGGAGAUAACUGGGGCAGGCAGCAAGAGAACAGAUGUCAUAUGUCUAGCAUCAGCAAACUCAUCAGAACUGAUGGGCAGCUCACUUUGCUUAGAACCUGCACCAGCAUACACACGGGGCUGCUUCCCAGUCACACUGCUCCUGGGAAGGUAGGGGGGCUGCUGUUCUGCAAUUAGCGCGGUUCUUUACCUCCUAUUACCGAACUGCCAGAGUUCAUUUGUGUUCAGUUAGGUAGAUGACCAAUUCUUGUUCAUUCCUAUUUUCUUUUGCUCACUAAUGUGUUUAACGUUCACUAACCUACCAAAUGUGAUUUAUUAGCGACUUUUUCUUUGAAGAUGGAGUGGAGGAAUCCUAGCGCUUUCUGCAACAUGCUACUGCUGUUAUGGAACAGUGCAGAUAUGGAAGUGCAUCAGCCGGGGAUGGGGAGAGGCUAGGGCAGUACAUGUGAAUGGAGAGGUAGCCCCACCAGUGUGUUUUCUGAAAUACAGUCCCGCAGAGGGCAGUCUUGGGAAAUUACUGUUCUCACACACUCUUCUUGACCCUACCCCUCCAGCACCUCCCUUGCUAUCCAAGGGUUGGGAUUUUUAAAAAGAAAAACAAAUUUUAAAAAAAGCAGUGUGAAUCUUUUGCCAUCUUGUAAGGGUGAAAAGCCCCCUACCAAGUCGGGAUGAACAUUCAUGCGUGUGCUUGAGGGCUUGGGAAAAAGACAGGGCUUGGCCCCACAGUGCAGGUAGGCCCAGUGAUCCUAUAAUAGGGGCCAGGAGAUGGGAGGUCCCCUGUGGGCAGGAGUUCAAGUAUGUGGUAUUAUAUGACUGGUGCUUGAUGAACCCAGGGAGAGGGCACCAAAAACAAUGGUAUUUAAUUGUAAAAUCUCCACCCCCUGAGGAUAUGUUUUCAGGUCUGGGUGACUAAUUAGACUGGGAAACAAGGGCAGGAACGAUGGCCCUGUGCUUGCUCUGCCCGCUGCCUCUGUGGAUGUGUGGGCUGCUGGCUUCAGUCCUGCUUUUCUUUCUGAUGGUAUUGUUUAUGCUAUGUGUUUUUGCAGGAGGCCUGAGGUGGGCUGGGUUCUCCUCCUAUGGCAGGGCUUCACUCUCCUCCUCCUUCUCUGUUGGGGCUUCACUGUCCCUGGGAUAAGAAUAACAAUGCCAAGGUUUUCAUUCUUGAAAGGAGCAAUUAAGCGUCUCACCCCCUCCUCAUUUUAGAUGGGAACUGUGAGGGUCCCGUCAUUUACCCAGGGUCCCUGUUGAGGAUCUUGUCCUCAUUAGAUGACUUCUUGUGCAGCUUCCAUGCGUGAUUCUUUACUCUUGUGGCACUGAGAGGUUUGUACAUGUCUUUAAGCCAGAGCGGCUUUCUGAAUGAAAAAAGUCCAUCCUAGAAGAUAGAAAGGGAAAUAUUAAUUUUGCAUGUCCUCUGCUUUCCCUGGUCACAGCAAUGAAUCCUCCAAUGUACCUGACUCUCCCUUUGCGAAGAGCAUCUCCGUGGCAGAAAUCUGAAAAUGCCCCUGGGGAGACACAUGCACAAGACAUCUCAAUUUAACACAAAGAAGCAUGUUGUGCUGUAUAGAACACCAGGUGCCAGAAGACCAAACAUGCUGGCAGAUGGAAAGAAGAGGAGUGAAGAUUCACUCUCCCUUGACCAAGAUCAGAGUUCGUGAGCCACACAUCUCCCCACACCAAGCUCCUCCAUACAAGACCUCGGACUGCAUCACGUAAAUGCUUUUUCAGGGGCAAAAUCUAGAGAAUCUGAAACGAGCUAUCAGCUUCCCAGUUUGCACAAUUCAUCAAGAAAUUAUGCGGGGUCACUGGCACAAAUGAUGAGGCAUCUCCUGGAAGCUUAACUUCUUAUCCAUCCCAUCUCUUGGACAGAUGAUGCCAGUUAAUUACUUUGAAUAGAAGACUCACUGGUGGCACCUGCAGCUGCGGCGUUUUCCCCAAGGGGUCUGUCACACGCAGCCCAACUCAACUGGAGUCCUGAGAAGGUGAACAGACCAGGAUGGAUGGCCAGGGAACUCACCAGAAGUCCCCAGGCAUCAGAACAAGGUCGAAGCAUCCUGAUUAGGGUACCAGAGGCCCAGGCAGUACUUUUGGGGUAGACGAGGUACAGACCUUUGGCUCCUCACUGUCUUCAAGCCCACAAGAAGCAUAGAGCAGAAGAAGACAGAGGAGGGCCCAUCUGGCCCACUACCUGUUCUUGUAAAUAAAGCUUUAUUGAAGCCAGGUGCUCACCUUCUAGCACAUUCUUCAAGAGUUACUCUGAGGCAAGCCAGCCGCCAUGUCAUGAGGACACUCAAGCAGCACCAUGGAGAGGUCCGAUGGCGAGGAACAGAGGAUCCCCCUGCCGACAGCCAAUGAGGAACAGGCCUCCUGCCAACAGCCGUGUAAGGGGUCACCUUGGAAGCCAAUGGCCCCUCCCUGGUCAGGCUUUUACAUGACUGCAGUCCUGGCCAACAUCCUGACGGCAACCUCAUGAGAGACCUUGAGCCAGAGCCACCCACCUAAGCUGCUUAUAGGUUCCUGGCCCUCAGAAAUCACAUGAGAUCAUAAAUGUUUGCUCAAUUUGAGAUAUUUGUGAUGUAGCAAUAAAUAACAAACACACUUA
rnacentral:lncRNA from 1 species